AAGAAGAAGAAGAAGAAGAAGACACGCCGGGGAUGUGUUUCUAGGCUGUUUCCGGAAUUUCUGGAAAUGGGAAACUCAUUUCUGGUUUCGGACAUGUGUGUCUCACAAAAAUGUUAGGUUAAAAUAAAAACAGACUCUCGACGCCGCAUCUGUACAGAAGAAGGACAGGACUUACCUGACGGUGAUGGAUAGCGGCAACGAUGGCGAGGC
rnacentral:misc_RNA from 1 species